GACCAACGCUGGCGGCAUGCCUAACACAUGCUAGUCGAACGGACAGAACAGGGAAGCUUUUCGGAGUGGAACUGGAAAGUUAGUGGCGGAUGGGUGAGUAACGCGUGGACAACCUACCUUGUAAAGGGGAAUAACCUCGAGAAAUCGAAGCUAAUACCCCAUAAUAACCUUGCUUCGCAUGAAGUAAGGAGGAAAGGCGGCCUUAGCGCUGUCGAUACAAGAUGGGUCCUCGUCUGAUUAGCUAGUUGGUGAGGUAAAGGCUCACCAAGGCGACGAUCAGUAGCCGGCCUGAGAGGGUGAACGGCCACAGUGGGACUGAGACACGGCCCAAACUCCUACGGGAGGCAGCAGUGGGGAAUCUUCCGCAAUGGGCGAAAGCCUGACGGAGCAAUGCCGCGUGAGUGAAGAAGGCCUUCGGGUUGUAAAACUCUGUCCUUAUCGAAGAGAGAGUGUUGUAGUAACUGACAAUACUAGGACGGUAGAUGAGGAGGAAGCCCCGGCUAACUAUGUG
rnacentral:rRNA from 1 species